AGGGUCUGUCCUCACCAGCCGGGGCUGCUGUGACAAGUGGGCCACACACCAGAACCCUAGACAAUGGCCAUCCGUGUCUUGCAUCUCUGGAGCCCAGACGAUGACGCCCACGAUCCAGUCCUCACAGGCCUGGUGUCUACAGAGACCCACACCUCAUCUUGUGGUUGACACCUUCCUGCUGCAGCCUCACAGGACACUCAGGAUGAUGUGGGCCCAGGUGAAGGAGGGGACCCCAGAGAACCGCAGAUCUGCCCUCAGUAGUGUCCUGUGACAACCAGAGCGAGACAGGAAGAUUGAUGCUCAGAGACUCGGGAUACAGGCCUGGAAUCAGCUCCAGGCAGGAGCCUCCAAGCCUACAUCUACGCCCUGGCUAGCAUCCCCGAGUUGUCGUGCCCUCCGCUGUCCCUUGGUGCUGGGCAGGAGUGGCCUGCACAUUUUCCUUCCUGUUCAGACCCACUGGGGUCUCCUGGGGUCCAAGAUGUUCUCAGCAUCUGUUCCCAAGGAUCAGCCCCGCUCCCCGUCCCCGGGCCCCUGGGGAAACCUAUGCAUCUACAGUUCUGCUGGGCAGGAGCCCCACUCACACUGUAGCCUGAAGAGCAUUCACCCCCAUCCCAUCUCUUCCUAGAGGGCACUGAGCACCUCCUGUGUGGGCGGCUCUAGGCACUGGAAUAGCUGGGGACAAGAGGGUGCAGUGGUGCUACAUUGUGUCAA